GGCCGCUGGCAACAUCGGUCCAAUCCUUAAAGUCAUCCUCAGUUCGGACUGGGGUCUGCAACCCGACCCCACGAAGCUGGAUUCGCUAGUAAUCGCGCAUCAGCCAUGGCGCGGUGAAUACGUUCCCGGGCCUUGUACACACCGCCCGUCAAGCCAUGAAAGCCGGGGGCGCCUGAAGUCCGUGACCGCGAGGGUCGGCCUAGGGUGAAACCGGUGAUUGGGGCUAAGUCGUAACAAGGUAGC
rnacentral:rRNA from 1 species